rnacentral:lncRNA from 1 species
UAACAGCGUUCUUUGAACUAGAAGACUGUGUAAACUCUGCACCAGAGCAACCUAGUCACACCAUGGAAAGCCAAAGUAAGAGCAUCGACAUAUCGGCCUCUGCAGAAGGAGUGAAGAGUUCCCUCUUCGAAACACCUUCCGAUUUUGAUAAUCAAAAUCGAUAUGAGAAGACUGAUGUGUCCCUCUUAAAAGGUUAUCCGAGUCCCUAUUUGUCUCCUAAUAUUGGAGAAAUAACAUUUCAAGAAGCCCAAAGUCAGAAUAAGGUGACAGAUAUUCUGAUCCCCAAUUAUCAGAGCCCCUUGAUGACUUCUAAUUUCCAAGGAGCCAUGUUACAAAACCCAAUAUAUACAACGGAGAGGCCAAUCCUUGAAGAUAAUUGUCCUGGGAUGGUUUCUGACGGAAGAGAAGCUACAUUUCCUGAGGUGAGAAAUGGUGCACUUUUCUUAAUCUUGUUAAUGUGAGGCAUAAGAAGCAAACUCAGAAUUUUUGAUAAUGUGAUGCUUUCUGCAGAUGGAUCCUCAACUGGUGGAAGAGCUAACAGCGUUCUUUGAACUAGAAGACUGUGUAAACUCUGCACCAGAGCAACCUAGUCACACCAUGGAAAGCCAAAGUAAGAGCAUCGACAUAUCGGCCUCUGCAGAAGGAGUGAAGAGUUCCCUCUUCGAAACACCUUCCGAUUUUGAUAAUCAAAAUCGAUAUGAGAAGACUGAUGUGUCCCUCUUAAAAGGUUAUCCGAGUCCCUAUUUGUCUCCUAAUAUUGGAGAAAUAACAUUUCAAGAAGCCCAAAGUCAGAAUAAGGUGACAGAUAUUCUGAUCC